GGCGGGGGAGAAACCUCAACAUCCAUGGCGCACUGUAAAUCCGUCGGCUUCGCCUACCCAGGUUCGAAUCCUGGACCCGCCACCA
rnacentral:tRNA from 1 species